UUGAACAUUCUGGAUACAAGUCUUCAUUUUAGAUAUUAAAGAUGAAAAAGAAGUCUUUUCGAGGGUGUGUUAUAGCCUAUAAGUGGCUGUUAUCUCCAUAGCUGUACAUUAUCUAUUUUCUCAUUGUAAAAUUAUCUGGAUACUGCCGUUGAACUAGAAAAUUAAAAUCUUGCCUGUGAUGCAUAAUGCAAGUUCUGCAAUCUUUCUGGUUACAUUUUUAUUUUUUUGAUCUUUUCAGUUUCUUUUUCUCUGGGCAUGGUCCCAUUGUUUGCUUUGAAAUUCAUUGCCUAACCUCUCUAAUGCUAUAAACUUUCCAGGAUCAUAAUUACAUAUUUUAUGCUUAUAAAAUGGUUUUAGGGGUUUGCAGUUUCUAUCGGUUUGCAAUUGUCCUACAAACUUUUAUGGGGGUAUAUGUCUGACGCUUAGUUUGGAGGCAUUGUUUCAAAUAGCGUAAAGAAAGAAAAGCUUAGGCAUUCCUCACAGAGACAACCCGAAAGUGUCUUUAGGCAUGCAAGUGUUCUGUGAAAUUUCAAAAAAGUGUGGUGUAAACCUUUUCUUUGAGUUGGUAUGCUUUAGCAAGCUCACACUUUAUUUAAGAAAAGGGAAUUCUUUUGGUAUGGGCUUUAUGUUAUUUUAUUUUUUGACACCCUAGUAAAUAGAACCCCAAGUCUCUAUCAUUCAAACCCUGCACAGCGUUACCACAACCAAUUGACUCCUUCAGAAGCAUGCAACGAAAAACUUGAAUGGUUACUAUAUGGCAGCAUCUCCAUCAUCAGUUGGGAGUUGAACAGUUGGUAACUUCCAAUUUUUGUUCUUUUAAUGGCUUUUAUUCUUGCAAAGAGGGUUUUAUAGAGUUCACGAUAUUUUAAUUAGGCUCUUAAUUGAGAAAAUUAGUAAACAUUGAGGUGUUUGGCAGAUAGAAAUCUCUGGUUUUAUCUCCUUUAUUCCCUCAGAAAGGCUACUAACGACCUGAAAAAUAAAUAUUUACGGUGUCUCAUGGACCAGUUUAUUGGGUUUCUUUAAUGAUUUUGGCUUUGCCAAAUUUGGGACCAAAUUGGGUUGUUUUUGACAUGUUGAAAUAUAGGGAAAUUUUGUGGUUAUAAUGUUUUAGGCUUGACCAGCGCACUCUAAGCUUUAAUAACUCUUCUUAAUGACCAUUAUAACCUUUGAAAAAUGACUUAAAACAACUUAAUUCACAUCUAAAAUGUUUUCCAAUUACUCCACCAUAGCUCACUCAGGCUUAUACCCACCCUACCAUCCAAUACUAACCAUAACCCCAUCACAAUCUUCAAAAUCAGCCCUUCAUCACUCCAUAAACCCCAGUCACAUAAUACCACCCAUAUUGAGUUUCUUGGUCAAUGGAGCAUCAAAUCAUCAUGUAUGACAAGUCAGUGAGAAUGGAAAGGUAUGUUAUUUGCCAAAUUAGUUGAGCUUGUUUUGUUCUGGUGGUUACUAAAACUGGGCUCACGUUUUGUUUGGUUACUCAGAGCUGAGCACCAAAUGUACUGUGCAGUUAUAUGUGGCCGAACAACCAUUCAUUAAGUGUAGCCAGAUAUUGCUGCAGAGGACAUUUGGCGUGUGACCAGAAAUGGCUGCACACCAACAAGAAAGUGGAGCCAGGCGAAACUUCUUCUCGAGGUAGUGGGGUUGGCUCAGAAUGUGCAACGGGCUACACAAGUGAAUUUAGGAGUAAUGAGGACAACAAUUCUGCUCGAGAUAGUGGGGUUAUCUCAGACUGUGUAAUGGAUUUCACAAGUGAAUUUACUACUUAUGCGAUAUUUAAGACUAGAGAGUCCUUGAUGCAGUGGGCUCGUCGGACGGGCAAGCGAAAUGGAUUUGUUAUUGUGACAUUACGAUCUGAUAUGGAUUGUAAGAGUACAAAACCAAGAGUUACAUUAGGUUGUGAGAGGGGUGGAAGAUUUAAGGAGAAGAAAACUAGGGCUGCCAAAAAAAGACGUGGGACAGGCACAAAGAAGUGUGGGUGUCCUUUCACAUUGAAAGGGGAGAAGUCAGCGAAUGGGGACGGAUGGAUGCUAAAGGUUGUAUGUGGAGUGCAUAACCAUGCAUCCACUGAGUAUCCUGAUGGGCGUUCAUAUGCAGGGAGGUUAUCGGAGCAGGAGGCUUCACUCUUGAUAGACUUGUCAAAGAAUUUAGUACGACCCAAAGAAAUCCUGAGCACAUUGAAGCAAAGGGAUGAACUCAAUGCUACAACCAUAAGGACGAUCUAUAAUGCACGCCAAAGGCAAAGAGUUAAAGAGAAGGCGGGAAGGUCUCAAAUGCAACAACUGUUAUGUAAGUUGAAUGAGCAUGACUAUGUCGAGUGGCAUAGGAGGUGCCCUAUGUCAGAUAGUGUGCAGGACUUGUUUUGGGCGCAUCCUGUGAGUUUGGAGUUGUUACGUGCAUUUCCAACCAUUUUGAUGAUAGAUUGCACGUACAAGACCAAUAGGUAUUAUUAUCCCCUACUAGAGGUUGUAGGCGUCGCAUCCACUGAUAUUACAUUCUCAAUUGCAUUUGUCUUUUUGAAUUCUGAAAAAGAAGACAACUACAUAUGGGCAUUAAGUAAAUUGCGUGGUGUCAUGGUGGAGUGUCCCAUGCCAAAUGUAAUUGUCACAGACAUGGAUUUGCAAUUGAUGAGAGCCAUUGAGGUAGUAUUCCCUACCGCUAAAAAUCUUUUAUGUAAAUGGCAUAUUAAUAAGCAUGUGUUGGCCAAAUGCAAAAACUUGUUUGAGUCCAAGGAAAGGUGUGAUAGAUUUAUUAUGAAGUGGAAUGUACUGGUGACCUCUCCUACAGAAAAUGAUUACAUACGGGAGCUGGCAGUGUUACAGAGAGAAUUUAGUAUGUACACUGAGGUCAUGGAAUAUGUUACAAACACAUGGUUGAAUCCUUUCAAGGACAGAUUUGUGUCGGCUUGGACGGACAUGAUCAUGCAUUUUGGUAAUGUAACAUCAAACAGGGCCAAGGGUGCACAUACCAAGCUUAAGAGGGAACUUGGUAUGAGCCUGGGAAAUUUUGAGGGUUCUUUUGAGAGUAUACACUCUCUUAUUGAGUUACAGCACACUGACAUAAAGAUAUCUUUUGACAAGUGUUUGAUGGUCACACAACAAAGCUUCAAGUCUUCAGAAUUCAAAUAUCUGAGAGGAGUUGUAUCUAUGUUUGCAUUGGAGAAGGUGUUAUCUCAGUCCAAACUAGCCACCUCAAUUGGUGUUGAUGGUUCAGGAUGUGGUUGUGUCAUACCCCGAACCCAUGGUCUACCUUGUGCCCAUCAGAUUGUGAAAUACAAGAGGGAGUGUCAGCCAAUUCCUCUUGAGUCUCUUGACCCCCAUUGGACGAAACUUGAUAUACUACCUCCUAGUUCUGCUCAGGAUUCUAUGGAUGUGAAUGAGUUUCCUGAGUUGGAGUUGCUUCAACAAUACUUUCUGGAGGCAAAUGCAGAAAAUAGGUUGAUGCUCAGGAAAAGAGUGAGAGAACUUGUAGCACCCUAUACAACUAAUCUUGUUGAACCAGGAGUUAAGUCCAGAUUACGAGGUCAACUGAGGGAGAAAAUUGAUAUGUCCACUCAACAAGAUCCAUAUGCAUUUGAUUUGAGAUCUGCAUCUGUGGAUAGUCACUCACCUAGCCCAAUGGAUGGUCAGCAAAAUUUUACACACAAGCAAAUGGAGCAAACCAAGAAGAAGGUGUACCGGACGCUGUCAAUGAAAGGUAUUUCGUAUAUUGAUGCAUUCCCAAUUGGAUUGAGGCCCUUCAUUCAGCAAGUCAAGGAUGUAUGUCAGGAUGGUCACUGCGGGUUUAGGGCAGUUGCUGAUUUAGUGGGAAUGGGUGAGAAUGGAUACUUGCAAGUGCGUAAUGACUUGCUUACUGAGUUGUCUUCAUUUUCUGCACAUUAUGGCGAGUUGUAUGGCAGCACAGACAGGGUUCGUGAGUUAGCACAGAUACUAUCAUUCUUUGAUGAAGGUAGAGCACCAUUUGAUAGAUGGAUGAUGAUGCCUGACAUGGGUCAUCUUAUAGCGUCAUGCUAUAAGGUCGUGCUUUUCCACUUAUCAUCUACUCAGUGCCUAACCUUCUUACCACUUCGGUCGGCACCAGUUCCUUUGCCAAGGCGUCGACAGAUUGCUAUUGGUUUUAUGAAUGAUUGUCAUUGCGUGGAGGUGUUCUUAAGGCCAGGGCAUCCUGUGCCUCCCAUUACGUCUGAUUGGAUCAGAUAUCAUACACCAGCUGCACAAGGAUGGGACACUGUGUAUACUAGUUGUAUUUUACGCUUCAAAUCUCUUGUCAGCUCUGAUCAAAUCUGACUCGGUCAGGUGCAAGUCACAAAUCCAAACUGUCUGAAAAAUAUGCUUAGAAUGGUCAGGUUUGAUCACGUAUAUGCACAAAUGUGCUCUGAAAGGAGAUACCGUCUAUAUGCACAAAUGUGCCCUGAAGGAGAGGCCAUGAAGUGGAUCUUGUUAGGAAAGCUGCAAAUCCCACCAUGAGGAUCCAAACCCUACACAAAUAAUGGAAACAGAUAUUUCCAGUGAUAUAGACUUAGUGGAGGAUACUUACCUAUGGGAAGACGAUGAUGACAGAUAUUCCGUUGAGAAAAUUCCGCUGUACGAUUCUGCAGAGGAUGAGCCUUCGUCUAGGCUUUUCAGGGCUGUGAACUCCUCAAGCUCUGAGUUUGAUGUUGAUGGGAUGAUGGAGAAUGUCAAUGUGGAUUCUGAACAUCAGUUGAUGUCUACUGCUCUUGUUGUGCAAUCACUUGAUUCUGUUCCAAUGGAAGGUGUAGUUAUGGAGGUAAAAACAGAAGUGAACAUGGAGAGGAAACUUUAUUCAGAAGACAAUCAACUGG